rnacentral:rRNA from 1 species
UACAGAGGUCUCAAGCGUUGUUCGGAUUCAUUGGGCGUAAAGGGUGCGUAGGUGGCGCUGUAAGUCGGGUGUGAAAUUUCGGAGCUUAACUCCGAAACUGCAUUCGAUACUGCGGUGCUUGAGGACUGGAGAGGAGACUGGAAUUCAUGGUGUAGCAGUGAAAUGCGUAGAUAUUCGCAAGAACACCAGUGGCGAAGGCGGCUCACUGGCCAGAUACUGACGCUGAGGCACGAAAGCGUGGGGAGCAAACAGG